GCUCUUGCAAAUGACCACCUCACGCCAAAGUUGUAAACUAAGAAAAGAAGAACACUCAGUUUAAGAUUCAUUUUGGUUUUAAGCUGAUGUUGUUUCCUUCCACGCAUAUUUAUAGCUGAUUGAGUUUCUCCUCUUGCCACGGCUUGCAUAAGUUAUUAUAAUGAAAUUAGGAAUGGCUUAGUCGAGAUUAAAAUGUAUGACUGCCAGAUUUGGUUAGGUUACUACGACGUAUCCAAUGAAUAAAACGGCUGGCUUAGUUGCGAAAAAUCCAACGAAGUUGCAAGUAAAAUAAAAUAUUUAAAUCAAUAUGUUAAAGCAACAUAAUUAUUCGAUUUUUAAUUAACUUUCUGUCUACAUAAUAUUUAAAUAAAGCUUUAGAUUCCUGCCUACUCUUCUAGCCAUUAGAAAUUAUACCAAAGUCAUUAGUCUCAUUGAGGUGUGCGCUGUCGACCUUAAUGUAUUGCAACCGCGAAAAGUUCUGCAGUAGUCGUAGUUAAAUUUUAAAUUCCGAAUUUUCGACUAUUUCGUUCCAACUUGUUUCGCUCCCUUCUCGCAAUAAAUAUUUGAUGUGACGGCAAACUUGGCGGCUAUCAAUGGGGCGUGGGGUUGGUUUGGCUUGGCUUGGAUUGGAUUGGGUUUUCCGAGGGGAUCCUGCGGUGUAAGGGGCAUUGGGUAGAUACGUGGAGCUACUGGAUUUUGGGGUCGGGGAUUUGGCAUUGUUGUGCGUAGAAGUAUCCGAG